UACGUAGGGGGCGAGCGUUGUCCGGAGUUACUGGGCGUAAAGCGCACGCAGGCGGUCUGCUAAGUUUGGAGUGACAGUUGGUGGCUUAACUGCCAAAGUGCUUCGAAAACUGACAGACUUGAGGGCUUCAGAGGGACACGGAAUUCCGGGUGGAGUGGUGAAAUGCGUAGAGAUCCGGAGGAACACCGGUGGCGAAGGCGGGUCUCUGGGCCGAUAUUGACGCUGAGGAGCGAAAGCAUGGGGAGCGAACAGG
rnacentral:rRNA from 1 species